rnacentral:rRNA from 1 species
CCCUUAGAUGUCCGGGGCCGCACGCGCGCUACACUGAAGGAAUCAGCGUGGCUUUCUCCCUGACCCGAAAGGGUUGGGAAACCCGUUGAAUCUCCUUCGUGAUAGGGAUUGGGGCUUGUAAUUCUUCCCCAUGAACGAGGAAUUCCCAGUAAGCGCGAGUCAUAAGCUCGCGUUGAUUACGUCCCUGCCCUUUGUACACACCGCCCGUCGCUACUAUCGAUUGAGCGGUUCAGUGAGGGCCUCGGAUUGGUCUCGGUCUGGCGUGCAAGCGCCGGCACCGUUGGCCGAGAAGACGCUCGAACUCGAUCGCUUGGAGAAAGUAAAAGUCGUAACA